GUGCCAGCAGCCGCGGUAAUACGGAGGGUUCAAGCGUUGCUCGGAAUUAUUGGGCGUAAAGGGUAGGUAGGUGGUCUUAUUUGUCUGGUGUGAAAGCCUUGGGCUUAACUCAAGAAGUGCCCCAGAAACGGUAAGACUAGAGUCCUGGAGAGGGUCGUGGAAUUCCCGGUGUAGCGGUGAAAUGCGUAGAGAUCGGGAGGAACACCAGAGGCGAAGGCGGCGACCUGGACAGGCACUGACACUCAACUACGAAAGCGUGGGGAGCAAACAGGAUUAGAUACCCCCGUAGUCC
rnacentral:rRNA from 1 species